AUCCCAUGAUGAGGACAUGGGCAAAUAUACCCCAAAGAUGUUCACCUGCUUCAGGAAUCGUCUCAUUUGUUUGUUGUUGGAAGCUUGAAAUCUUCCCUUGAAGGGU
rfam:Zea mays cultivar B73 chromosome 1, whole genome shotgun sequence.